UCUGGAACUCGAGAUAUGGGUUGAACACUAAACAGUGUCUGGGCUGCAGGAUAGAUUUCGACUUCUCCAUUGUUGCUAAGAUUUGGACUUCCAAACAGCAGAAUUGAGUCUUGUAUUCCUCAUGAAUGUUUUAGGCCUAUGUCUUAGCUUUUUAGC
rnacentral:pre_miRNA from 1 species